rnacentral:rRNA from 1 species
AUUGAACGCUGGCGGCAGGCUUAACACAUGCAAGUCGAGCGGGGGAAGGUAGCUUGCUACCGGACCUAGCGGCGGACGGGUGAGUAAUGCUUAGGAAUCUGCCUAUUAGUGGGGGACAACAUCUCGAAAGGGAUGCUAAUACCGCAUACGUCCUACGGGAGAAAGCAGGGGAUCUUCGGACCUUGCGCUAAUAGAUGAGCCUAAGUCGGAUUAGCUAGUUGGUGGGGUAAAGGCCUACCAAGGCGACGAUCUGUAGCGGGUCUGAGAGGAUGAUCCGCCACACUGGGACUGAGACACGGCCCAGACUCC